GAUGAACGCUGGCGGCGUGCCUAAUACAUGCAAGUAGAACGCUGAAGGAGGAGCUUGCUUCUCUGGAUUAGUUGCGAACGGGUGAGUAACGCGUAGGUAACCUGCCUUGUAGCGGGGGAUAACUAUUGGAAACGCUAGCUAAUACCGCAUAAGAGUAGAUGUUGCCUGACAUUUGCUUCAAAGUUGCAAUUUCAUCCCUACCAAAUGGACCUGCGUUGUAUUAGCUAGUUGUUGAGGUACAGGCUCACCAAGGCGACGAUACAUAGCAGACCUGAGAGGGUGAUCGGCCACACUGGGACUGAGACACGGCCCAGACUCCUACGGGAGGCAGCAGUAGGGAAUCUUCGGCAAUGGACGGAAGUCUGACCGAGCAACGCCGCGUGAGUGAAGAAGGUUGUCGGAUCGUAAAGCUCUGUUGUAAGAGAAGAACGAGUGUGAGAGUGGAAAGUUCACACUGUGACGGUAUCUUACCAGAAAGGGACGGCUAACUACGUG
rnacentral:rRNA from 1 species